rnacentral:rRNA from 1 species
GAUGAACGCUGGCGGCGUGCCUAAUACAUGCCAGUCGAGCGAACAGAUGAGGAGCUUGCUCCUCUGACGUUAGCGGCGGACGGGUGAGUAACACGUGGAUAACCUACCUAUAAGACUGGGAUAACUUCGGGAAACCGGAGCUAAUACCGGAUAAUAUAUUGAACCGCAUGGUUCAAUAGUGAAAGACGGUUUUGCUGUCACUUAUAGAUGGAUCCGCGCCGCAUUAGCUAGUUGGUAAGGUAACGGCUUACCAAGGCAACGAUGCGUAGCCGACCUGAGAGGGUGAUCGGCCACACUGGAACUGAGACACGGUCCAGACUCCUACGGGAGGCAGCAGUAGGGAAUCUUCCGCAAUGGGCGAAAGCCUGACGGAGCAACGCCGCGUGAGUGAUGAAGGUCUUCGGAUCGUAAAACUCUGUUAUUAGGGAAGAACAAAUGUGUAAGUAACGAUGCACGUCUGGACGGUACCUAAGCAGAAAGCCACGGCUAACUACGU